GGGAGAAAGCAUCUCAUUUCCCAUUUCUGAGAAACAGAAAAAUAAGACCUGAAUAAAGCCCAUGACAAUCAAUUUGAAACUACUCUCAAAACCAAGAGGCCAACUGGAGGUAUAGUGGCUAUAAUUGCUCCUUCAAAAUAUCUUUCUUAGCUUCAAAUUUUCUGUAGCUUGAAACUUAUACUUUUGUCAGGGAGAGGAAGAGAGAGAGACAAAGGGCUGUGUUGAAAACUCACCUGCUUUCUGGGGCCAGACCAGUCAUUUAGAUGAGUUUGUGAUGCCUGCCGUAGGUGGAUUGUAAGGUAGCUAUAAUCAGAGGGCCAUGGUGUGUUAGAAAGAGCAAUACUCUCAAGUUCAAGUCCCGCCUGUCCAUUUGUGAACCAUUGAUCUUGGACAAAAUUAUCAGCUUUCUGGGGCUCCAUGUUUUCAUCUACCCAAUGCAGCUCAUAAUAACUACUUCACAGGCUGCUUGUGCAUAUGGAAUGUGCUAGGAUGUGGAAAGGGCCUUGUGAACUAUAAAAGAAGGCUAUAAAUAACAGCUGUAUGUUCAAGGCAAGCAGUAGGGAAAACAGCCUCAGAUCAGUGAGACUGAGUGUGAAGGGAGGACAGAGGGCGGGGGAGUGAACAGCCCCAGCACAGAAAAGCCACUCCCUAUCCACCCUCCCCACAGGCUACAGGCUACAGAUCUUUCACCUGGGGUCUUCAGCUCAAACCAUCUCUACUGGCUAGUAUGGAAGUGAGUCGGGGUAGAAGAAGUUCAUUAAUAAGAGAAAUGAAAAGUAGGAUGAAAGACGGGGGUAAAUUUUUUCACCAUCGUCACCAUCUUUUAAAAAUAUUUAUGUUACUUGUAGAGCCCUGAGUCAAAAGCUGCCCUAGGUGGGUCUCUGCUGCAGUGUAUCAAAUGGAGGGAAUCAUUAUGACAUUUGUAAGCAGCAUAGUGCUCCCCCAAACACAGGCACAGUAGGGCCAUGAUAAAUGUUUUUGUUAAUAAAGAAGAGACAUACAGGUCUGUGCAAAGGUGUGGGAAAAAACAAAUUUCCUGUCUUUAUUGAUGUGAGGAAUACAGACUAUGAUUAAUAACUAAUUUUUUUCUAUUCAAGUGCUUUUACUUUAUAUUUUUAUGUUUUAAUUAUGAAUUCUUCAAUUUUAUCUUCUAGUGUUUUAGAAUGCUGCUAGGUCACUUAACCUGCUUAACAUUUAGUUUCCUGAAUUUUAUAAAAUGGGCAUCAUUUAAAUUUCAUAGGAUUAAUUGAAAGAUUAAGUGUAAAUUAGCAGGCUCAUUCCAGAGGAAGUUCCUGAUAAAUGAUGGUUCUCUGUUCCAUCUCCCAAUUCUUCAAAUGGUCCUGGAUGGAAAGUAUUUUGUAAGCCAGAACCUACAGAAUCAUAGAACUCUGACUUCAUGUAUAUGUGAAGGAGCACCAUGUUCUUCAUACACUUUGUGGGGACCAAUGAAGUCUGUAAAGUAAACAGUACUUGCAAAAUCAGCGAUGAAAGGUGUCUGCAUAUUUCAUGAUUUAAAGAUGCCAUACCUUGUUGGUAAAUGUUAGAUUCCCAAAUAUUCACAUGUUAAGGGUUACUGAAGCAUUUUAACUUCAGGGAAAGAAAAUUAAAAUAAAUUUCAUGUCAUGAGAACUUUACCUGAAGCAAGUAAGUUACUAUUUUAAAAAUAACUUGGCAGACUCCAAUUCAGGAGUGCUCCUCAAUCUGGAUAAAUUAACAAGAGAUACGAGCCCUUUAAAAUAGCUAGAAUGGUUUUGAUGGAGAGUUAAAGGAGAAUCAGCACUAAUUCAGUGCUUACUGUGUACCAGGGACUCUGCUACAUGCUUUCUACAUGCCACCUCAUUUAAUCCCCACCAUACCUCCAAGAGGUAGGCAAGGAUAUGCCCAUUUUGCUGAUGAGGAAACCAAGACUCUGCAAAGUUAAGCAAAUUUUUUAAAAAUCACAGUUAGCAAAAGACAAGACUAACAGAUAAACUUACAUCUACUGCUAACUUGCUUAAUGAAUGUGUAUUAAGAUGGUUCCAGUGAUGAAUCUUUUAGGUAUUGAGGACUUAGCAAUAAAUAAAACCAACAUACGCCUGUGUUCUUAGACUUUAGACACAACAACAAAAAAAAGAUGUAAAAAAAUAUAUAUACCUAUUAGAAGCUACCUAAUUGUAUACUUUAUACCAAAUUUUAUACUUUAUACCAAGUAGUAGUUAUUUAUCUCGAAGGGAUUCUAAAGCAAGAUAUCUGGGAGAGGGUUAUUAAUAACUUUUAAAAAUAUUCAUUUAAUUAACAAAUACGGCCAGGCAAGGUGGCUCAAGCCUGUAAUCCCAGCACUUUCAGAGGCCUAGGUUAGUGAAUCAUUUGAGGUCAGGAGUUUGAGACCAGCCUGGCCAACAUGGCGAAACCCCAUCUCUACUAAAAAUACAAGAAUUAGGUGGGUGUGGUGGCACACACCUGUAAUCCCAGCUACUCAGGAGGCUGAGGCAGGAGAAUCGCUUGAACCUCAGAGGCGGAGGUUGCAGUGAGCUGAUAUUACACCACUGCACUCCAGUCUGGGUGACAGAGUGAGACCCUGUCUCAAAGAAAAAAAAAAGUCUAACUUUCAAUUUUAAAAUAAUUUUAGACUUAUAAAAAUUUUGUGUAUUUCCCAUCUAUUCUUCAUUCAGAUUCCUUCAAUGUUAAUCUUCUGUAUACAUAUUUAAAAAAUGGUCAAAACCAGGAAGUUAAUACAGAUACAGUAGUUUCUUCUAACCUACAGACCUUAUGUAAAUUUCACCAAUUGUCCCUUUUCUAGUCCAGGAUCCAGUCUAGAUUUUGCAUUGUACUUGGAUUUCAUGUCUUCUCAGACUCCUUCAAUGUGUGACUUCCUCGCUCUCUCUUUGUUACUCAUGACUUGAUAUUUUUAGAGUAUGGGCCUGUU
rnacentral:lncRNA from 10 species